CAAAUUCAAUUUCUUUCAACUUUUCAAGGGAUUUUGAAAGUUCUAUCUGGCUGAUUUAGUGGUUAAAACUUAAAUUAACUUAAAGUACAUAUUCUGUACAGUUAUCUUAUAGCUACUUUCUGAAUAUAAAAUUAAAAUCAUAACAUUAACAAUCGGAACCGAUACUUUCCUUUAAAUAAAGUUCCUAUGGUUUGUUUUUGUUUAUGUGAUUUUUCUUAGUUUUCGUUUCAAAAUUUUUAUUCAGAAUAGUUUCCUUUAUACCUAAUAUGUUUCAACUAUUACUAUAAAUAUAAAGCAUUUGUUAUAAUUGAGGUACAUAAAUAUGCCUAGUGAUAGUUAAAAAGAAGCUUCUUUGUCGGCACCAGAAAAUACAUUAGAAGAAUGGAGUCUACAACUUCAGUAUCAAAGGGUGUGUUUUUAUUCCCAAAUGGAUUCAAGAGAACAAAACAUUUAAAGAAAAAAUCAAAGCAACCUCUGUUUGAGUCUAUAUUUAAAAAGGAGCCAUGGUAUAUGACAUUUAAAUCCAAUUGGAAUAUAAUUGAACACCAGUUAAAGGAACUACAUGAGCAAACUUACAGCGCAAUGUUAAAUGAUGUAGUAAAUUAUGUCAAGUCAUUUGAUCAAACCUGUCUAUAUGAUUCAAUAGAGGGAAUUAUACCAAGUGCAACUCUAUUGACUGGUGUCAACCAACCGGAUCAUGUGAAUCAGUUCCUCGCUUUAAUACAUAAAAUAAGGGAAGAUGUUACACCACAUGUCGCUAUGAUAAGUUCUCAAGAUGCACAGACUGUUAAGCAUAUGGUAGAAAGUGCUGUAUCACAGUUAAUACAUGGUCAGGAGUACUUGGAUGAUUCUGCCGAUGAAAGCAUGAUUGAGCCUACAGUCAGAUUAAAGAAAAGUCAAUGCACAAUGAGAUCCCUCCUUAACUGGUAUCAGUCUACACAUAUGAAUACAUCACCAAAAAAGCUAAAGCAUGCACCACCAAAGAAAAUUUUAGUUAUAAUAAUGCCAGACUUUGAGAGCUUUAAUUGUAACAUACUACAGGACUUUGUAAUGAUUAUAAGUUCCUAUAUAUCAUCUCUGCCUAUAGUCCUAAUAUUUGGAGUGGCGACGUCAGUUUCUGCGCUUCACAAGUCCUUCCCAUACCAUGUCUCAUCAAAACUGCUGAUUAAAGUGUUCCACUCGCAUCCAUCACACGUUUAUAUGAAUCAAGUUGUAGAGAAUAUAUUCCUUACUCAUACAAGCCCGUUCCAUUUGUCAGGUAGAGCUUUGGAACUGUUGACAGAUGUGUUUCUAUUCUACGAUUUCUCUGUUACAGGUCUUGUUCAGAGUGUUAAGUAUUGUAUGAUGGAGCAUUACUAUGGCGAUAACAUUAAAACUCUUUGCUGUAAUCGGGAAAAAAUUGAAGAAACAGUAUCAAAGUUAAAAUCAGAUGAGUUGGAGAAUAUAAGGCAAUUGUUAUCAUUCCGGCCGUUUUUGGAGGUGCAGGACUGUGAGACCAAGAUUGGUCUAUUUGAAGAUGAUAACUUUUUCAGAGAAAUUCUAUCCAAGGAAAUGCAUAAACUGCACGAUUACUUACAUAGCUUCUAUUUGUGUGUGCAUAUGCUAUCUGCGCUAGUUAAGGAUUUGCCUAAGAAUUUACUCGGCAAAACUGUUAGAGAAAUUUACACAAAAUGCACAACGGAACACAUAACAGAAACACAACCAUAUCGAGAGUGCAUGCAGCUCAUUGGCUUUCAAUCCCAAAUCAAAAUGGCGGAAAGUAUAAAAAACGCAUUAAAAGAAGUCAACUCAGUGCUACAAACUUCCUCUCCAGUAAAACCAUUACGUUCGACACCAUCGAAAACAAACACCAUCAGUGUUAAAGUAUCAAAUGAUCUCGGCCAAGACUUUGCUAAGUUGAUCCGUAUACAUCUUCUUACGUUUUUGAGGCAGAUAGAAAGUGCUAAUAAUGAAGGUCUUAUAUUAGGUAAUGCGAAUGAGGAGCAGGAACAUGAUUUGGAUACUGAUGUUGCUCCUGGCAAUAGAUAUAAGUUGAAGGAGAAAUUGCUCAAAGCGACAAGGGUGGAAAGAGUCCAAUCAGAAUUCGAAAUGGUGCGCUCCAGGUUCAUGAGUUACCUUGGGGAGGUGUUCGCGAGGGGUCUGCAGCCGCCGCGCACGCAGACCUUCCACGAGCUCCUGUUCUUCAGUGACGUGGCCAGCGUCAAGAAGCAAAUAGUGGGCUCCCCGCGCGGCGCCUUGCACCUGGCUCUGAACAAUCCUGUGCAUUAUUUACAGUGCUCGUGCUGCCAUCUACCGUCGCCGGAGAGCAUAUCGGAGUGGCUGCCCGACGUGAGCAUUGCGUACAAGCUGCACCGCGAGUGCGGCAAGCACAUCAACUUGUACGACUGGCUGCAGGCCUUCGCGGCGGUGCUGCGCCCUGACGAGGAGGACGAGGAACGCUUCCAAGACGCCAGCUUACAGUGAGUAGACACACAAGGUGUACCGUGUUACACAGUGCUCGUGCUGCCAUCUACCGUCGCCGGAGAGCAUAUCGGAGUGGCUGCCCGACGUGAGUAUCGCGUACAAGCUGCACCGCGAGUGCGGCAAGCACAUCAACUUGUACGACUGGCUGCAGGCCUUCGCGGCGGUGCUGCGCCCUGACGAGGAGGACGAGGAACGCUUCCAAGACGCCAGCUUACAAGCGCGAUUUACUCGAGCCGUAGCAGAGCUGCAAUUCCUUGGUUUUAUAAAGUCAUCCAAGAGGAAGACCGAUCACGUGAUGCGUCUUACUUGGUGAUAUUUUGCCAAUUUAAUGUAUUUUCUAGAUUUUAUUAAGUUAAAGAUUUUGUAUUAAAGUGUUUUAUUAAAA